GCGAUGGAGGAAUGUUGCGUCAUGCGGCUCCUGGACCGUUAACAAACGGGCAGAACAACGGGGCCGCUGCAUUCAGCAGAUGGACGGAAAAGCUUCGUAAACAUGUUCGGUGCCGGCUCCAACGGGAGAUUUUCAAAUUGCAGACAGUGUUGUUGUUGAACGGAUAUUAGAAGGAGAGGAUUUAUAGUCGGGAAACUGCAACCGAUCAGGAUUUCAGAGUGGCCCAAUUCGGUGUAACCUGAAUCUCAUUGGGCUUUGAACAUGGAAGGAGAAAACACCGUUGACAGCGGUGAAAAACUGUAUAUGUGUAGUGCGUGUGCACAAGUGUUCAGCCAAUCAUCUGACCUCUCGAAACAUAAACGGAAUCACAAGGAGAAACUAUGGAAAUGUGGGGACUGUGGGAAUGGAUUCAGAUCCCCAGCUGAACUGGAAAUUCAUCGGCGCAGUCACACUGGGGAGAAACCGUUCUCCUGCUCUGAAUGUGGCAAGGGAUUCGGUCAGAAAUCCCACCUGCAGAGACACCAGCGAGUUCACACUGGGGAGAGACCAUUCUCCUGCUCGGAGUAUGGGCAGGGAUUCACUAAUUCCUCCAACUUGCUGAUACACCAGUGAGUUCACACUGGGGAGAGGCCAUUCAUCUGCUCGGAGUGUGGCAAGGGAUUCACUUUGGCUUCCAGCCUCCAGACGCAUCAACGAAUUCACACUGGGGAGAGGCCAUUCACCAGCUUCUAGUGUGGGAAGGGGAUUCUCCGACGCAUCCAGCUUGAUGACACAUCGGUGAGUUCACACUGAUGAGAGAGUGUUUACCUGUUCCCACUGCAGGAUGGUGUUGAGGCGUUUAUCUGAACUGACUGUACAUCAGCAGACUGCCUGUGGAGAAGCUGAGUGAGGGGAUUCACUGAAUCUGCCAACUUGUGGACAUUUCACACUGGGGAGAGGCUGAUCCCCUGCACCAAGUGUGGGACAUAUUCCCUCCGUCAUCCAGCCUGCUGAAACACCAGUGAGUACAUUGUGUGAAGAAUCUAUUCAUGUGCUGAAUGUGGAAAAGCAAUCACUCAGUCAUCCAGCCAACUGAGAAGCCAUCGGGUUUGCACCGGGGAGAAGCCUUUUCAAUGUCCAAACUGAGCGGAGUAUUUGAAAAGAUCCUGGGAGCUGACAUCCUACGUACUUGUUCACAUUGACGUGAGUCUGUUCAGAUGCUCUUACUGCAGGACUGAGUUCAGGUGAGAAACUCGCCCCACUCUGCAGCAGUAAGUUCACACUGGGGAGAGGCUGUUCACCUUCUCUGUGUCGGGGAAAGGAUUCAUUGAGUUACGAAAACUGCUGGAAUGCCAGUGAGUUCCAGAGUAACUGCAGUGAUGAAAGAUGUAUAAUUUAUACAAAUUCCAGUUUUGGAAGUUGGCUUUUAUAAUAAAGACACUGAAUGUGGGUCAUUUUCUGAAAGUUUUCUUUAGAAUAAAAAGUGAGAGUCCUUGUGAAACAGUGACCUUCCUCCAGCACUGCUCAGAAAGCAAGUGGCUGUGGAGCCCCAUGUGGAGUUAAUGGGAAAUUGUUUAGACUCUGUUGAUUUACAACAGAUGAGCAAACAUCAAUUGACGUUAUCUUGUUUUCAGUUCAGAAUAAUCAAGGAUUGAUUUUAGUUUAUAAACCCAGGGUUAGAAGGUAUUUUGUUCAGUUUGGAGAUCUGACUGUGAUCAGAAUCAAGUUUAGUCUCUCUACUAUAUAGAGCUCAGAAGAAUUCAGUGGAAAAAAGAACAAAAAGUCACCCGAGUAGAACUUCCGAACCAGGAGAGUUUGGUUUGAGCUCUGAAGGUAUUAGAAGCAGAAAAUGUUUAUUCUCUGAAUUUUGAGAAUAUUCAUGAAAGAAAAUUCCAUAGUUCACAGGAAAAGUUUGGGCCAAACCAGUUCAGAUAUCACUUGGAGAUUUAAUAUUGGGUGUAAUUUCUCUGGAUUUAAAUCUGUAUAAAUUGAUGCGGGCACACAGUUGCAGCAGGUAAUCAGGAAGACUAAUGGAACAUUGGCACUUUAUUUCAAAGGGGUUGGAGAUUUAGAGUUGGGAUGUUUUACUGCAACUGUACAAGGUGCCGGUGAGACCACAUCUCGAAUGCUGAGAAUAAUUUUGGUCCCCUUAUGGAAGGAAAGGUAUCAUUUCAUUGGAGGUAGUUCAGAGAAUGUUCUCCAGGGUAUUCCCUCAUAUGGAGGGACUGUCGUAUGAGCAAAGGCUAAACUUGUUGGGAGUCUACUCACUGGAGUUCAGAAGAAUGAGAAGUGAGGAAACAUAUUAGAUUAGGCUUGAAAGGGUAAAUGUUGAGAGGAUUUUUCACCUCAUGGAAGAAUCUCAGACCAAAGAGCAUAGUCUCCGAUAUUAGGGCCACUGCCAAUUUAAGAAUGAGAUGAGAGGAAUUUCUUCUGUCGAGGGUUGAGAUACUAUGGAACUCCUUGCCACAGAACAGUGAGGCAAAGUGGGACCUUGUGUAUAUUGAAGGCUGACAUAGAUUCUUGAUGAAGGAUUAUGGGGAAAUCACAGGAAAGCAGCCAUGAAGAAUGUCAGAUCAGCUCUGAUCCUGUAGAAUGGCAGAGCAGGCUCAAGGGGCUGAAUGGUGCUGUUAGGAAAUAGGUUGGGAACAUAUUUGAGCACAGCAAAACAAAUUGUUUUUCUUUCUGUUUUUGUCUUGCAUAAUAAAGAUCUGUUUUUAUUUUUGCUAAAGAAUCUCCGCAGCCUCACAUGACUGGGUUUCAGUGACUGACCACCACAUUAACCAAAUUAAAAGAAUAAUCUCACUUUUAGAGACAGACAGAUGCACAAUUAAACUCUGGCACCCAUUGUACCAGAAGAUGUGAAGAAAAGCCUCAAUCAAUACAAAAUAAUAAAUGAAGUGCAAUUCAACCUCAUACUCUAGUUGUUCAGGAAUUUAUCCCAUAUUUACUCACAGGAGCAAAGACUGUCAGAAGCAGAGUGAAACUCUCACUUGCGUACCAGACUUAAGGUGGAUAUUCACAGAAGAAAUCCCUCCCUCUCCCAGAAAGAAAGUUUCAAAAUGAAUAAUGCACAAGCAGCCCUCCAACUCCAUUUUAAAUU